rnacentral:misc_RNA from 1 species
AAAGUCGUAACAAGGUUUCCGUAGGUGAACCUGCGGAAGGAUCAUUACAAAUCCAAAACAAUUACUCGUUGAAAUGUUCUCGGCCUUGAGCAAAAAUAUCAUGGCGGUUGGCGGUGUGGUCUUGAUUCGGAUGUUGAAAUAGCUUACCAUUUUGUGGUUGCAGUUCUCCUCUCCGUUGUGCUGACAUUGCAACCAGAAUGAUAUGUGGAGAUUAGGUCUCUGGUACGCCCUAUAUUCAGGGCAAUGCCGAGGCCGAGUCACCUCUCAAGGCUUGAUUUAAUAACAUUAACUAAUUGACAUUAUCGUCCGAUUGGACUAUAUAAUAAUCUAAACAACUUUUAACAAUGGAUCUCUAGGCUCUU